rnacentral:rRNA from 1 species
UACGGAGGGGACUAGCGUUGUUCGGAAUCACUGGGCGUAAAGCGCACGUAGGCGGCUUUUUAAGUCAGGGGUGAAAUCCUGGAGCUCAACUCCAGAACUGCCUUUGAUACUGGAAAGCUUGAGUCCGGAAGAGGUGAGUGGAACUCCGAGUGUAGAGGUGAAAUUCGUAGAUAUUCGGAAGAACACCAGUGGCGAAGGCGGCUCACUGGUCCGGUACUGACGCUGAGGUGCGAAAGCGUGGGGAGCAAACAGG